UACGGGGGGGGCAAGCGUUGUUCGGAAUUACUGGGCGUAAAGGGCUUGUAGGUGGCCAACUAAGUCAGACGUGAAAUCCCCAGGCUCAACUUGGGAACUGCAUCCGAUACUGGAUGGCUUGAAUUCGGGAGAGGGAUGCAGAAUUCCGGUGGAGCGGUGAAAUGCGUAGAGAUCGGAAAGAACACCAACGGCGAAAGCACUCUGCUGGGCCGACACUGACACUGAGAGACGAAAGCUAGGGGAGCGAAUGGG
rnacentral:rRNA from 1 species